GCCAUGGUCUUCCCUGAACAUGAGCUGCACUGACUCCCAGGAGGCAGCAGUAGGGUUACAAGGGGAGGCCACAUGGAAGCAAGACCCCUGCCCGGGGGCCAUGAGCAAUAGGACAUUGGAAGUCCUUAGCAAACACGCCUGCUAGCCUGUGUCCAGGGCAGAGCCAUUCAGGAGUGUGGUUUGGCGCAUGUGCAGACUGUCGCUCUGAGGCUGUGCACAGAGGGAGAGGGAGCUCAAGGGGUGACUCGCAGACGAAGGCCCCGAGGCAGGGCACACUCGGUGCUGGCUUGCUUGGCAAAUGCUGAAACGAAUCAAGACCCAGUGGUGAAGUGCUCAGCUCGGUUCACGUGAGUUCCUGGGGCAGUGUUCUCGUUUCUGUACCAGUAAACCAUCAUUGUUCCCACCUUGUAACUGGAGUACAUGAGACUCUCACUUGCAGUGAGUGUGGAGGGUCCCUCACUGCACCGUCCUCUCCAGGCCAGCAUGCUGAUCGCUUCUAAGAACACUGGCUGCUGAUGGCUCACAGGUACCAGGGAUCGAAUUCACGACUGCCUGCAAGGCAGGCGCUUAUGCCACUGAGCUAAAUCCCCAGCCCCUGGCCUUGAACUUCUGCCUCAGGCUCCCAAGUGCUGGAAUUCCAGGCCAUGUGUGACUAUCCCCAGGUUCCCUGGAAAUCUUUUCAAUCUUGACAGCCUUGCAGAUUUUCUCAUUCCCAAGCUUCAGCUGAGGUUUACACUGAGUGUGCACACCCAGGCCCAAGCAGUAAGACGGAGGGAGAGGAAAUUCUGAAGCUGGCGCCCUGUCUGUAUUUCAUAUUCUCCAAGAGGAGCAAAUGCAAAUGCUGACACUCGUUACAGUGCAGAAAGGGGACUGACAGCGAUGCUGGUAAGGCGGAGGUGCCCUGGGCAGCCUUACAGCUGCUGCCAGGACUGCACCUGGGCCACUCCUCCUGAAGCGCUAUUUCUGUCUGGGUGCAUGUGUGUGUUACUGGGGACUGAACCUCUUCACUGAGCUAAUCCCCAGCACCCCCAAAAAAUAAAAAAAUUUAUUUUUUUAUUUUUUGAGACAGUCUGGCUAAGGUGCUAAUUUACUCAGGCUGAGGGUGAAGUUGAGUCUCCUGACUUAGCCUCCCAUAGUUGUGGGACUAUAGGUGUGAACCCCAUGCCUGGCAGGAAGGUUUAG